CCUACGGGGUGCAGCAGUAGGGAAUCUUCCGCAAUGGACGAAAGUCUGACGGAGCAACGCCGCGUGAGUGAUGAAGGUUUUCGGAUCGUAAAGCUCUGUUGUUAGGGAAGAACAAGUGCCGUUCAAAUAGGGCGGCACCUUGACGGUACCUAACCAGAAAGCCACGGCUAACUACGUGCCAGCAGCCGCGGUAAUACGUAGGUGGCAAGCGUUGUCCGGAAUUAUUGGGCGUAAAGGGCUCGCAGGCGGUUUCUUAAGUCUGAUGUGAAAGCCCCCGGCUCAACCGGGGAGGGUCAUUGGAAACUGGGGAACUUGAGUGCAGAAGAGGAGAGUGGAAUUCCACGUGUAGCGGUGAAAUGCGUAGAGAUGUGGAGGAACACCAGUGGCGAAGGCGACUCUCUGGUCUGUAACUGACGCUGAGGAGCGAAAGCGUGGGGAGCGAACAGGAUUAGAUACCCGGGUAGUC
rnacentral:rRNA from 1 species